rnacentral:rRNA from 1 species
UCGCUCCUACCGAUUGAAUGAUCCGGUGAAAUCAGUGGACUCCGGUGUCUUUCGGGUUUCCGAAUAACACUAACAGGAAGCUGAUUAAACCUUAUCAUUUAGAGGAAGGAG